UACGUAGGGAGCAAGCGUUGUCCGGAAUUACUGGGCGUAAAGGGUGCGUAGGUGGUCAUGUAAGUCAGAUGUGAAAGACCGGGGCUUAACCCCGGGGUUGCAUUUGAAACUGUGUGACUUGAGUACAGGAGAGGGAAGUGGAAUUCCUAGUGUAGCGGUGAAAUGCGUAGAUAUUAGGAGGAACACCAGUGGCGAAGGCGACUUUCUGGACUGUAACUGACACUGAGGCACGAAAGCGUGGGGAGCAAACAGGAUUAGAUACC
rnacentral:rRNA from 1 species